AGCAGCCGCGGUAAUUCCAGCUCCAAUAGCGUAUAUUAAAGUUGUUGCAGUUAAAAAGCUCGUAGUUGAAUUUCGGGGUUAGUAGGUUGGUCAUGUCUCUGGUAUGUACUGGUCUCACUGAUUCCUCCUUCCUGAUGAGCCGUAAUGCCAUUAAUUUGGCGUUGCGGGGAAUUUGGACUGUUACUUUGAAAAAUUAGAGUGUUUAAAGCAAGCUAACGCUUGAAUACAUUAGCAUGGAAUAAUGAAAUAGGACGUUCGAUCCUAUUUUGUUGGUUUCUAGGAUUGACGUAAUGAUUAAUAGGGAUAGUUGGGGGCAUUAGUAUUCAAUUGUCAGAGGUGAAAUUCUUGGAUUUAUUGAAGACUAACUACUGCGAAAGCAUUUGCCAAGGAUGUUUUCAU
rnacentral:rRNA from 1 species